UGGGGCAUGGUGCAAUGGUAGCACAGCGGACUUUGGAUCCGUAUAUUUUGGUUCGAAUCCAGAUGCCCCAG
rnacentral:tRNA from 1 species